rnacentral:rRNA from 1 species
CCUACGGGGGGCAGCAGUGGGGAAUAUUGGACAAUGGGCGAAAGCCUGAUCCAGCAAUACCGCGUGUGUGAAGAAGGCCUGCGGGUUGUAAAGCACUUUAAGUUGGAAAGAAAAGUUAUUUGCUAAUACCAAGUAGCCGUGACGUUACCAACAGAAUAAGCACCGGCUAACUCUGUGCCAGCAGCCGCGGUAAUACAGAGGGUGCAAGCGUUAAUCGGAAUUACUGGGCGUAAAGCGUACGUAGGUGGCUAAUUAAGUCAGAUGUGAAAUCCUUGAGCUUAACUUGAGAACUGCAUUUGAGACUGUUUAGCUAGAGUAUGGUAGAGGGAAGUGGAAUUCCACGUGUAGCGGUGAAAUGCGUAGAUAUGUGGAGGAACAUCAGUGGCGAAGGCGACUUCCUGGACUAAUACUGACACUGAGGUACGAAAGCGUGGGGAGCAAACAGGAUUAGAUACCCCUGUAGUC